CCUACGGGUGGCAGCAGUAGGGAAUAUUGCACAAUGGGGGAAACCCUGAUGCAGCAACGCCGCGUGGAUGAUGAAGGUUUUCGGAUUGUAAACCCCUUUUGUUAGAGAAGAUAAUGACGGUUUCUUACCAAUACACCCCGGCUAACUCAGUUCCAGCAGCCGCCGUUAUACGGAGGGUGCAAGCGUUACUCGGAAUCACUGGGCGUAACGGGCGCGUAGGCGGGAUAGCAAGUCAGAUGUGAAAAGCUAUGGCUUAACCCUAGGACUGCAUUUGAAACUGUUAGGCUAGAGUAUGGGAGAGGUAGGUGGAAUUCUUGGUGUAGGGGUAAAAUGCGUAGAGAUCAAGAGGAAUACUCAUGGCGAAGGCGACCUGCUAGAACAUAACUGACGCUGAUGCGCGAAAGCGUGGGGAGCAAACAGGAUUAGAUACCCGUGUAGUC
rnacentral:rRNA from 1 species